rnacentral:rRNA from 1 species
CCUGUGAUAUACAGAAGUGACGGGCGAUAUGUGCAUAAGAAAUUUCUUUAUUCAAUUACAAAUUAUUUUUAUACUAUUUAGCUUCAAGUUCAUUUUAUCAAUUUUCUCUUAAUCUUUCCAUUAUAUUUAUUAACGUAUUCCACUUCUCCAAAGCUAUAUUCUUUAUCUUGAUUUGUUUUAGGAUUAUUUCUAUUUUUUAAAAAAUAAAAUAUAUUUCUUUUUUCUAACAAUGAUAUAAAAGAUUAUAAGCUUUGUUAAUUAUAUCGUGGGUUGUCGAUUAAAUAAUUAGAAUCCCCUGCUAAGGGUUCUCACCGCCAUUAUAGUUAGAUUUAGCUUAAUUAGUUACUAUCUAUUUAAUUUUAGAA